ensembl:lncRNA
GUGGCGGCCGCGGACCGCGGAGGCCCGGCGCAGCCCCGUCGGCUCGGCGCUCUCCGCAGAAAGGCUCUACGCCCCUGCCCAUCCCUCGGAUCUGGUCUGGGGAGGGCCGGGGUUGCUGCUGGAAGCCCCCCCACCCCCCAGCCGUGCUCCGCCGCCGGGAAGGAUUCGAGGCUGGGCUCCGAGCGAGGCGGAGGCUGCAGGGCCCCGGGGCGCACCCCGCCCCGCGCACGCCGCCGGAGCCCUGGCAGGCGCAGCCCCGGGGGGGCUCCCUGCACCCGCGGGAGGCGGCUGCGAGGCCACUGAGACACAUGGGGAAACCACAGUCCAGCAGUAUGCCUGGGUUUCUGGAAGCAGCCAUGCUUAUGAUCCAGCCUACGAUCUGUGACUCUUGCUGUGUUGCCCCAGGGAUGUGACUCAACCUCUCUGGGCCUCCAGUGCCUCGUGCAUGACACCCACAGCUUGGAUGAGAAGUUUCCCAAAUCUCUUAUGCACAUCUGCUCUAUGACUUUCAGAGGUACCUGGCUGAAGAUAAAAAUUUCUUAAAUAGGUGUUUCUUUGCAUGGCUGAUUUCUAUUUAUGGCAAUAGGUUGGUGUUCCCUAUAGGGGGGAUAUGUCUCCUUUUCUGUCGAAAUCAAUUUAUGUGGGUAAGAAAUGAGUCUCCUUCUUGAAAGAGAAAUGCAAAGCAAAUUAUGGCAGGUGGCCUGAGGAUGGGACCAAAAUCGAGACAACAGUUUGUAAAGUUUCAUGGGCCCACUUUUUAGAAAGAGUUCGUGUUUCUCUUAGGGGUUUUCUGUACCCUUAGUUGAUGGUGGGGGGAGUAAGUUGCCAGUUAAACCCAUGCUGUGUCCUGUGUUGUCCUUGGGGUCCCAACACCAGAGGCCCUCCCCAACUCCCCCCAUCCGUAGACCCCAUUUACCUCCACCCUGGGGUCACAGUGACCCAGUGCUCUCCUUCCCCGAUGGCUCACCUCUCUGAGCCUGUUUGCUCAGGGAAAUGGGGAGAAGAAACGCCCUGUGAAUGAGAUCAGGGGGUUGGGGAGCCUCACCACGAAGCAGGGAGAGUUCUGGAACAGGGCACCGGCUCAGGGGGCAGCAGGUGCCAGGGGCCCUGGAGCAGGUGGGGCAUGGCGGGGGGCGCCCUUGUCCAGCGGGCCGUGCAGUGCUGGGCUAGGGGGUCAGCUCCGGUGGGCUCCCAGACCCCACCAGGAGGGGCGACUCGUGUUUCACUUUCUGCUGUGUCAUGGGGCGUGGGGUGGUGGAGGGGCCCUGCUGGCCAGCCUGGCCGGGGCAGAGCCAGCGGACAGCUGCGGGCCCAGCUGCCAGAGCCCCGCCCCAGCCCUGCAGCCUGCCAGGAUGGGAGCUGGGCCCCAGGGCGCUUCUUUUUACCUCCCACUACAAGCACAGUGGGAGCACCCCGGCGGAGAAAACCCAGGAGCUGGCUGCCUGGAUCCUUGGGCUGGAGGGGACACCCUCAAAACAAAAUUUUAAGCCACACAGGGUCAAAAUCUUAAGACUUGUGACUUGAUACUGGAUCGGAUGGCCCAGCUGGACACCAGCCUCCUACUCGCGUUGGUUGCACAGAUGUCUGUUGGGGACCUGCCGUGUCCUGAGUACCGUGCCAGGGGCUGGCGUGACAGUGGUGAGGGUCAUGUAGCCCCUCCCCCCGUGGGGGUCUCAGUGGAGCCAGGGAGGAUGACAAGCGAGCAAACAAAGGGGUGGAGGAUCCCUUGUUAGGGUGAAAAUUCCGUGCUGAACACCACCGAGCUCAGGCCUGGGGUCUUGCGUGGCCCUGGGAGUCAGCAAGCUAAGCGCACAGACUGGGACCAGCUGUCCUGUGUUUAAAUCUGGACUCUUCUAUUGGCUGCUUGUGCAGCCUCUGGCAGGAGACUUCUCUCCGUGCCUCAGUUUCCUCAUCUAUAGGUACUAGAACUACAAGGGGCACUCAGAGCUGUGGUGAGAAUGAAAUACAUGGGCUGCCGUGAAGAACAGAACAGCGCUGGCGGUGCCGUAUGCCUUAGCCGUUACAGAAGAACAAUGAACGCAGACUGCUAGACGAUGAAAUCCACCCCUCAGAGCUCGCUGAGAGCGCUGGGAGUAUGUAUGGCUGAGCUGGUCCCCCUUGCCACACAUGACACAGUCACAGCCGGCCCUCAGGGUCCUCACUGAGGUAAGAGGAUGAGGGAACAGGCUCAGGCCUCCAGAGAGCUGUGUUGGAGAUGCGGUCCGCACCCACACUCAGGGCCACUUGUCAAGGAAGGGCUCCACUCUUGUUUCCAACUCUGCAACCGUCACCUUGAAAUUCUUAACCCUUCCGAACAAAAGGGCUCGUACAUCUUUAAUCCUGCCUUGAUGUUACUUAUGCUGAACCUCUUAACUACUGACAUCAACCAGCCGCACAGCUGGGUGCAGAGUAAUUUUCCAAUUUAGCAACAUAUGAGACUUGUGACCAAAAAAUACGAUGUUUCCUUUUUUAAAAAAUUACAGUAUUACCGUAAAAGACACACUGCCAUUAACCCCCCUCAGAAUACUGCCCCUGUUUCAAACACACUGAAUCCCACUUUUCUGGCCCCUUCCUGAAGCAGUUCUGAGGUCUUCGGUUAUGUCUUUAGUUGUGCUGCCCUGCCAAUCUCAGUGUUCUGCGUCUAUUCAAAAUGUUUAACUUUCGCGGUCAUUUUGACUUUGGGGAAGAGCCAAGAGUGCCAAAUGCAGUGCACAAGGUGGAUGAGGCCUCCCCAUGAUGUUUUUAUGAGCCUGCCUUUCUGGGAGCAGCAUUCACUGUAUUUUUAUCACAAAGACACUCCUGAAGGAGGACUCCCACAACUGCUUCAGAAAGUGGCAGGAAGGAUGGAAUAAAUGUGUUCAAAUGGAUGGGUAGAUUUUGAUGGGGAUUCAUCAAAAAACGAAACAAAAAAAAUAUCACUACCCCCAACUUAAAUGUUCACUGUAUAUUUUUUUAUUAUACCUCGUAGUGCUUUGUAAUGGAACUGAAAUUCCCAGGAGACUAUGAACACUUAUCACAGGCCGGAUAACCCAAAUGCUUGUUUGUCUGUCUGUGGUCCCCAGGAGAAGGCUGCCAGGGGUGGCAGCUGAAGGUAGAAGCCUUGUCUCCUUCCUGCCAGACCUUCAGAUCCUGGCCUGUAUUAGGUGCUCAGUUAAUAGUAGUGAACUGAAGCCAAAGAUUUGGGGCCGCUGUGUCUCCUACUUCCAUGACCCUUCCAGGGAAGUAGGUGACGGGUGCGGUGUCAGUCCUGGCCACCCCAGCUGGCCUCCGGAGAGCCCCUGAGGGUGUGGAGAUUCUCCUACCCCUUGCCCAAGCCUGCUUACUCUUUAACAGCUUCUGCUUCAGGGUUCAGAGGCAACCCAGACCAUGGAGACCUGCAUUUCAGAGGCCUGCACUGGGAAAGAGGCGGGGUCUAGCCAAAAGAAUACUAGGGUUCUCAGGCUGAGCAGGUUCAAGACCCAGCUGGAGGUCAGGGGUCACGGCUUCUGGAAGUGUGAAAUGAGAUCAUUUUCCCUCUGAUAUUAAAAUUCAUCUACACUCUCAAAAACCUGAAAGUAUAAAUAUUACUAAAAGCAGAGAGCUAUUUCAAAAGCCUUUCGGGCAUUUAUAAUAAUAAACACAUACGGUUCUUCGCCAGCCUUUUUCACAAGCCUAAUCCAUCCUUUUAGAUGACAAGCCAUGAAGCCAUUGUCGUCAUCAUUGUCUAAAUAACAUCAUACCCACCAACAUAUAUUGAGCUCUUUCUUUGUCUGAGGCACUUUUGACUUGUAUGAAGUCAUUUCAGUUGCACAAGCAACAGACAUGAGAGGUACUGCUACUGGCCCCAGCUCUCUGAUGAGGAAACAGGCUUCGAGAGAUGACCUUACUUGUCCAAGGUCACAUACCUAGCAUGUGACAAGCUGGGGUUCAAACCUGGGUCAAGCCAGAGAGUAACUCUUUGAGGCUCUGCAGGCUACAAAGACUUGCAGCUGCUCAGCUCUGCAGAUGUAAGUCAAAAGUAGCCCUAAACAAUACACAAAUGGAUGGCUAUGGCUUGGUGUUACAAUAAAACUUUAUUUAUAAAACCAGAAAGCAGGCCAAAUUUGGCUUAUAGCCCAUUUGCCAACCCUUGUUCCAAACCGAAAGGCUGCCUUUCAGUUAGAUCAACACAAACUUGACCCUGGCAGUGUUCUUUCCCGACCUGUGAGGUGACUUAUUUCCAUGCCAGAGCGGACAGCUGCUGUGUGUGGAGAAGGUAAGUUGAGUCUGCCUUCCUUGUGGAAAUUCUGAAACUCUUGGAACUUAAUCUAUUAGUGACUGCUCCUGUAAAACAUCCUGAGGUUUUUAAAUUGAAAUUUUAGUAGUUGUCAAUUGAGGCACUUUAUUUUGUGUGUGGUGAUGGGGAUCAAAUCCAGGGUCUUACACAUAUGCUGACAUGUUACACCACCGAGCUACACCCUCAGCUCCCUGAUUACCACCCCCCCACCCCGUACUGGGAAUUGAACCUAGGGAAUACUGAGUGAAGUCCCCAGCCCUUUUGAAAAAUUUUUGAACUUGUGAUCCUUUGGCCUCUGUCUCCUGUGUAGAUAGGGUUACAGGGUUGCACCUCCAUGGCCCCCGAUUAACUUUUAAAGAUGAAAGUGUUGUGGUUUAGGGAAAGACCUCAGUGGGACGCUUUUGCUGGGGAAGGCACUUCUCUGAGAUGAGAAGGAGGAGUAGGCCUGGGUAUAAACCUGUGGUAGAGCACCUGGCUAGCAUGUGUAAGGCCCUUGGUUCCAUUCCCAACACCACCAGGAAGAAAGAGCAAGAAAAAAAGGAAGGAAGGAAAGAAAGAAAGAAAUUUAAAGCAUAAGAAGACAGUGAGUGUGUGUGUGUGCGUAGGAGAGAGAGGGAGAAUUUCCCCAUAGGGUACCAAGGAGGCUGGAGCAUACCAAGAGAGUGGGGAAGAGGGCAUGAUGUUUAAAAAUAGCUUUAUUAAGAUGUAAUUUACUUAACAGGCAAUUCACUUUUUUCCCCAGUACUGAGGAUUGAACCCAGGGGCUGCAUAUUGAGCUACUUCCCCUCCCUUUUCAUUUUUAUUCUUUCAUUUAUUUAUUUUUUUUAUUUUUUUGAGACAAGGUCUUGCUAAAUGACUAAGUUGCUCAGCCUGGGUUUGAACUUGUGAUCCUCCUGCCUCAGCCUUCCAGAGUGGUGGGAUUAUAGGUGUGUACCAUUCACAUUUAAAAAGCACAAUUCAGUGGCUUGGAGUAUAUUAACAGAAUUGUGCAGCCAUCAUCAAUAAAUUUUAGAAUGUUUUCAUCACCUCAAAAAGAAGGCCCAUGCCCUUUAGCAGUCAUCCUGCCCACCCCAAUCUUCCAUUGCCGCCAACCCUAAGCAACCAUGAAUCUACUUCCUGUCUCUGUGAAUUUGCUUUUUCUGAACAUUUCCUAUAAAUGGGAUCAAACAGCCUUGGGUCCUUUGGGUCCGGCUUCUUGUUUAGGGUCUGAUAUUGCCAGGGUCCGGCCAUGUUGUAGCAUGUAUGAGGACUUCUUUCUUUUUCAUGACUGAGCAUCAACCUAACGUAUGGAUGGACGGACCAUAUUUUGUUUCUCCAUUUGGCAACUGAUGGGCUGUUUCUACUCUGGGGCUAUUAGGAAUAAUGCAGCUAUGAGUAUUCACGUAUGUUCUUGUGCAGACGUACAUUUCUGUUGGGCAUAUAGCUCAGAGUGGACAUGCUGGGUCAUGCAACAGCUCAAUGUUUAACGUUUGGUGGAACCACCUCUUUCAACUUUGUAUUUGGGACAUUUCCCACUGUACUUGAGAGUAGAGAAACUUUCGUAAUGUGCACCAGGUACCCAUUGUCCAGAUUCGACAAUGAUCAGCCUUUUGCCUAUCUUUUUCCCUCUGCCUUCUCUCUUCCUUUGUCUCCCACUGAGUAUCUUAUUCAGGCACUGCAUUUCAUGUUGUCCCAGCUGAGAGGCCAACAUUUUCUUUUAUCCCAAACCUUCAUUUGGAGUAGCCCAUAGCCACAUUCUUGUGUGAAUGGAAUUUGGGGGAAUGGAGGAGUUGGUCAGACUCCAGAGUGGUCAUGGUGUGGGAGGGGAGCAGCCCCUGAGUGAGGCAGGAUUAGCUAUACAAUUUGCAGGAUCUGGGUGAAAGGAACAUGUGGAACUCUUUGUUAAGAAGUUAAAGAUGGCAGAGCAUUAAAUCAAGCAUGGGCCUCAUGUAGCUGUAUAGGUUCUCUGCCCAUGAUGUCAGCCCAGCCCUUCAACCAGCGAAAAGGUGCCCAAGCAGAACUGGUUCAGCAGAUGCAGCAAUUUAGAACCUUGGAUACUGGGAGCAACAUAAACACCCCUCACCCUCAAUCUCUGGGAAGGUUCCAAGGGAAGUUGGGAAUGGUGUAGCAUAUGGGGCAAGAUGUAAACCCAUUUCAUUUUAAUCUCCAAAAAUAAGAUGACCCCAGCUGACAUGGGGGUUAUAAGCACUUAAAACAAUAAUCGUUUGUUGUAUGCCUUCUUCCUUGAGAGCUCACGGUUGUUUUAUUUGGCCACUCCAUUUUGUCCUGGGUUCUGAGUGUACUCUGAUAUCCCUGCAAAAGAUAGGGCUGCAGUCUUAAGAGCAGACACCCGCUGGGUUCCAAACAGCCCAGAGCUGUAGGGACCCAGGGUGCCCAACAGUAGCAGGUGGCCAUGGUAGACAUGGCUGCCAUUGAUGGCAACCAGUUCCUCCCAGCUCAGACACAGUUCCCACCAACCCAGGUGCCUCCUACUCCGUGUUUACCUAGGCUCAGCCCAAGGAUUCAUAAUCUUCUCCAACACCAAAGAUCCAGAGCCCCCUGUAUGGUUCAGGAUGAUGCCAGGGUGCAUUAUAUCAAGUGUCUUGUCAUGAAAGGGUAUACAGUACACGGCAAAAGGUGCCAGGGGUGGGCCUUGGUGAGAACAGGAAGGACAGCAUAGCUCUCCUGUUGGCCAAGGGGAGUUCACUCAUUCGUUCAGCCACUUGCUACCUACUGCACUUAAGGGCCUAUGGACUGGGCAAAAGCAAAACAGCAAUCAGCUGGGUAGACCUCUUCCACCACUCCACUGUCCUGACAAGCAGGUAAUAAAAAGAACAUUGUUAUAUUAUUUUGCUCAAUCUCCGAGUGUAGAAAUGGAAAUAAUUUUUAUCACACCAUUUUAUGUUUUUUCUUUUUUGGAGUGCUGGGUACUGAAUCCAACACCUCACAUGUGCUAGGAUGGCUCUAUCACUGAGCCACAUCCUCAGCCCUUACCCAGAUUUAAAAAAUGAUAUCUUACUUAUGGUAAGAAAAAUAAUGCAAGAGAGAGUAAGAUAAGAAAUAAAGGCAGGGCUGGGGAUUUAGCUCAGGGGUUCUGCCACCUGCCUCAAAAGUGCAAGGACCUGAGUUCGAUCCCCGGUACCAAAAAAAGCAAAAACAAAAGAAAUAAAGGGGUCCCUUUGCAAUUUUUCUGUAGCUUUGACCUCACUUUCUAAGAAGUAACCACUGUGUGCAGUUUUCACAGUCUUUGUACGUGUUGUAAGCGUGGUCAAAGUCACGGGGCUGUUGCUGAGGAGGUUAAGGGUGCCACAAUACACCCUGAGGACAGAACACCUCUCAGACCCACAUCACUCUUUUCAAUCACGUCCAGCAUCCCACUGCGCUUACUUACCCUGGCCCCUGCUGGCCAACGUUUGCAUUAACUCCAGGAUUUUGCCUUUAGCGUGCAUACGCACUUUGGCACAUGGCCAACUGCACUUUGUAGGACAAAUUCCUAGAAGUGGAAUUUCUCCAUCGGAGGAUAAACGUAUUUUGGAUUUCUACAGCGAUUGCCCAGUGCCCCUCAAACAGGCUACGAUUCACAAGCCCCUCAGCCUCGUGUGUGUGAGGGUGCCUGGUUCUGACAUACUUUUGCACCCCAGAAGGGCACAGUGUGGCAGGGGAAGCGGAUUCCCAGUGAGAGAUCUGCCAGAAAUGUUGGUGAAUGAAAUGUGGAUGGAUGGCAUCAAGGCCAGAGGAUGCAAAAGGCCCUAGUUUUGAUUAAAAAAAAAGAAAAAAAAGAAAAAGAAAAAGCCAGCUUGGCUUGGCACCCUCCUUCCUGCCAGUCAGGGGACUGCAAAGCUGUUUCCAGAGCGCGGCUGAUGAAUUGAGGGAGGAGCAACAGGACAGUGCCAGUCGCCUCUCAGGGCUGCGCUAACAUAAAACCAAACAACUUGAAACUGUUCCAAGGGAGCGGAUUAAGGCAACAUGUUAUUCUGAGUGAUUGCUUAAUUUAUUGAGCUGCGGCUAGAUCUGUAAUGAAAUACAGCCCUUGUAACUGAUCACCUCCUACUGCAAUUGGACUUCUACAAUUAAGGGAUAUUUUCCCAGAGUUUCUCUCGAAGUGCCUGGAAUUUGUGGCCUCUGUGGUGGGGUGCUUCUGGCCGCGCAUGCUCCAGGCAAGCUUUUUUUUGGUUUGUUUUAAAGAGCAGCAGGUUGAUGUUAAUAAAGAAAAUAAGCAGCAUUUUACUGAGUGCCAUGUGUACAGCAGGUGGCUUAUAUACAUUUGCUCUGACCCCCUCCAUUUCCCAGUGAAAUAACCCUCACUAUUCCGUUUUACAUGGGAAGACAUGAGACAUGAGGGAAUUUUUUAGAGCAAGGCCCUCUAAGCCACACGUGACUAUUCGUGUCAAUUAGGUCAAGUUGAUUGCGUCUGAAAACGCACCCUUUGGGGUGCAUGAGCAAUGAGUUCAAGUGCCAACCCUGCCAGACUGGGGGGCUGGUGGCCACCAUAUUGGAUGGUGUGCAUAUAACUCGUUUUGAUGAUUAUAGAUCUAUUGCUCCGAGGUUGGUUCUAUAGAUCCAGAGAUUUCAUGGCAAGAAAUGGGCAGCUUCAGAAUUCAAAGCCCUAGUUAAUGGGCUUUGACCGUAAAGCUUGUCUGCCACCCCUUACUUCCUUCUCCCGCACCAGGGACCCUCAGCCAGGCUGCGUGUUAAAAUUACCUGGAUCUUUCGGGUUGUUUUUAUUUUUGUUUGAGACAAGGUCUCACUAUGUAAUUCAGGCUGGCCUUGAACUCAUGCUGAUCCUCCUCCCUCAGUCUCCCAAGUGCUGGGAUUACAGUCAUGGAAUGGGGUGGGGGGACCUUUGCUUGUAGAAUAGCCUUUGUUACACUGUCAUGGAAGAAGCUAGAUAUAUCAUGGAGAUGACGUGAGAACCCUGUAGCUCCAAAUUGAAUUAGCAGCAUCAGGAGGAACGCAGGCACUCUCUCUCUCACUUUAUAAAGUGGAGCAUGGGGUUGCAGGUUCUGUCCACUGAGGUUAGAGACCACGACCAGUCACAGCGAGGACCCAGCACCAGGGUACGGUCCCUAAACACCUCUUUUAAUCAGCAUUCAAGGCCCCCUGGGCAAAUGGCCAAUUCCACAUCUGAGCCAAGAAAUGUUCCAGUGAGCCUGAGAUGUCUUUGUUUGUUUGUUUGUUUGGCUUUUGAGCCAGGGCCUUCCUUCCUUUAUAGUUUAGGCUGGCUUCGAACUGACUCCGGAGCCCAGGGUGGCCUCAAAUUCACGGCAGUCCUCCUGCCUCCAGCUCCUGAGUGCUGGGAUUUACAGGCCUGCGACACCACACCCAGCUGAGCCUUGACUAUCUUGUCACUGGGAAGCAGGAAAGCUGUUUCAACUGCUGGAGUCACAUCUGAAAGGAUGCAGGAGACAGCAUGAAAAGAUUCUCAUUGGCCAAAAAUGACAAUUUGAGCAUUAUUAGGAAUACUAACUAUAGCCAGAUGUGGUGGCACUCUGGGAGGCUGACGCAGGAGGAUUACAAGUUUGACCCCAGCCUAGGUAAUUUAACAACUUAAGACUCUGUCUCAAAAUAAAAAAUAUUAUAAAAGGGCUACACAUGUAGCUCAGUGCAAAGGCCCUGGGUUCAACCCAUAGUUGAACCAAAUAAUGAUAAUAAUAAUAAUAAUAAUAAUGCAAACCAAAUAAUAAUAAUAAUAAUUACAGUGUAUUAAACAUUUCAACUUCAUGUCCAAACAAUGAGUUCACCAUGAUGCUGGAGCACAAGAAAAACAUAAACUUACUCAUCACCAAGCCUGCAUUUUGGAAACUGUCAAAGGAAAAGAAUCUAGCAUUUGGGCCGAGGAUUUAGCUCUGUGGUUCCACUGCCUGCCUUGCAAGUGCAAGGUCCCAAGUUCGAUCCUCAGUACCAAAAAAAAAAAAAAAAAGAAUCUAGCAUUUGUCCUUUUUGGAUGACCCAUACUCUAUGGAAGCCAAGCGAUGGAUAAAAUGGUGUGCUUUAUAGAAGUAUUUCCACUAACCAAGACAGACAGAGAUUAGGAUGCCACUGGUUUUUAGUCUCUAGGGGAGUGACAGGUCUGGACAGUGAUCAGCAGCAGCUAACAUCACAGAGGAAAAUCAGGUCUUGACCUCCAAAUCAGCUACUAGGAAGCAGACAAAAAAAUGCAUCUUUGUGAGCUUCCAGAUUGAACUAGCAAUACAGGAGGGAGAGGAGCAGAUAUAACACCUUUAUGAGGAUGCAAUAAGCAAAAUCCAGACUAUAGGACACAUCAUAGAGCAUCCAACCCAGUUUCUUCAGUAAACUGUAGGGAAAGAGAAAGGAAGAUGAAAGAGAGGUGUACGAGACACAGCAACCAAUCACAAUAUAUGAGCUUUAUUUGCAUCCUGAUCUUACCCAGUUGUGAGAAAACAUUUAAAAGAAAGCUAGAUAAAUGUGAAUCCUGACCAGAUAUAGUAUUUGCUGAUAUUAAAAGAUUUACUGUUUUUUGUGGGGUUUUUUUUGGUACCAGGGAUCAAACUCAGGACCUUGCACUUUCGAAGCAGGCACUGGAACCACUGAGCUAAAUUCCCAGCCCCCUUUACUGUUAAUUUCAAUAGUGGUAAUGGUAGUAAAAAACCCCCAAAACCUAAUUAUCAGCUGGGCAUGGUGGCACACACCUGUAAUCCCAGCACUCUGGGAGGCCGACACAUGUGAGUCUCAGGUUUGAGCCCAUCCCGGGCAACUUAGCAAGACAGUGUCUCCAACAAAACGAAACAAAAAAUACCCUACUUCUUUCUUGGGAGUUAUCUUUGGAAAUAUUUGCCAAAGAAAUGAUUGAUAUCUGGAUUUCCUUAUGAAGGGGAAGGAAGUGCCAUGGAACAAGAUUGGCCCAGGGUUAGUGACUGCUGUAGCUGGCUUUGCGGUACCAGAUGCUCUAUUCCUAUGUGUGCUUGAAGCUUUUCAUAAUAAAAAAAAAAAGAAGGAAAAUCAGGCUUUCCUUGCCCUUUUCUUUUCUUUUUCUUUUUGGUACCAGGGGAUCGAACUCAGGACCUUGCGCUUGUGAGGCAGGCAUAGAAACACUGAGCUAAAUACCCAACCCUCCCUCCCCUUUUAUUUCUAGAUACUGUCCACCCCACUGCUAGCAUCUCUGCGACCAGCCUGAGGAGCAGGCUUGGGUUAUACCUUCAAGCAGCCCAUCCCAUCUCCAUGGCAACCAACAUCCAGAAGUCUCCAUCCACACUAGGGUCAGGCCAGGCCAGGUUGCCAGUGCUGUGCCAGGAUGCACAGAGCUGCUCCCUUUGGGAUUUUCAUAGGGGACCCCCCAGCUGAGCAGCCUCUCUGUGCCCCAUCCCCCUCAUUCUUGCCUUCCCCCUGCAGCCCCUAAGGAAGCAGUGGUCAAUUGGUGGAGAGAAUAGACCCUGAAUCAGAUCCAGGUUCAAAUUCUGACUCCACCACUUAACAGAAGAACUUUAGCCCCCAUGUGCCUCAGUUUCCUUGUCUGUAAAAUGGGUAUAACUGGACCUCAACUAACUCAAUAAAUUGUUAUUAUGGGAGGGAUAGUGGCAAAAAGGACCCAGUCUCCACUUCCUGGAACUAGACUGUUGGUGGUGAAGGGUGAUUUCAGGACAGUUCAAGUGCUGUGAUAAUGUACACGGUGUAGAACUGGAGAAGCAAGGGUGCUUGGUCCUACCCCAACUUUUAGAAAAACUGGCAGUCGCUACAUAGGAGAAACCCUAACUCCCAAUCCUACUUUCACGUGCCAGAAUUGCCAUGCUUUUUGACAACUCAGUGUGUAGCGAUGGAAAAUGCGCAGAAUACGCAGUGCUCAAGAUUCCGUUUCCGGGAGGUCAGGACAGCUCCUCUCAUCUGCUGAGGACGACGCUGGGCUGGGCGCGGAGAGCAGAGGAAGCUUCCACAAGGCCCCGCCUUCUGUGCUCAGGCUCUGCUCGCUGCUUAAGCUUUGAAACAGGAGGACAUCAUAGUGCCAGGAGGUUAAAAUCUCCCCAGGUCCAACUUUACUUUGCAAAUGAAGAAAAGUAGCCCAGAGAGGCCUGAGGCAACACAGUGAAUCACCGCUCCUUGGAAAGAAAGUACGAGGAUGCAGCAGGGAAGCCGGCUCCUACCGCUCCAAUUAAUCCUGUCCCUGAGUAGGAGCGGAGACAACCACGCCAGCUUCCCUGGGACUGAGGACUUCUGGAAUUGAGGAUUUGGGGCACUACACCAGGACGAUUCGGGGCUACCCUCCCAUGGGAUGGGGGGCUUUAUUUUCUCUCUGCCCCACAGACCAGGGGCGUCAAAGUGGAUGUUUUCCAAGAAACAAGGCUCUGGUGGAGCUGGUGAGCCGUGGGGCUUCAUGCCUGGUCCCCGAGGGACUGCCCACGUGGCGCCUGGGUGGCCUCAGAAGUGGCCCGUGGCCCAGCCUCCCUCCCUUCUGUUCCGCCCCAGCAGACAACUGCUCUUCCAAACCGUCACCCUAAUCACCCUGCUGUAGUUUACAGACCUCCAUGGUUCUCGUGCCCAUCACGUUAAGAAGAACUCUGCAGGCCCAGGAAACCUGAGUGGGCUUCUUCCCCGGCCCUGGCUGUCUCCCUUGUGAAGUCAACCUAAGUCCUAAAAGUUCCAAGCGAGGCCAGGAUAAAGCAAGCUGUACUAACUGCAGCCUCCCUCCCCACAGUCCCUCCUCUCUGAGUGUGUCAGCACAAUUGUCAUCUCGUCUCCCUUGGUCUAAUUAACUCAUUACUAAUAUUCCAUCUCCCCCAGCCCUGGCUAGACUGGUGGCAAAGGUGACCCUGGUGACACGUGAAGGGGGCUCAAUAUCAUAGGACGGUUGCAUAAAUGUCACUGCCAUUGUCACCUCUAGCCAGGGUUCCAUCUGAGAUCACAAACCCUCCACAGCCCUUGGGACCUCCUGCUCCCUUUUCAGACAGGCAGGUCUCUGUGAUGUCCCGGAGAGAGGGGGACUCCAGAGAAAGACUGGCAGGAGACUCCUGGAGCAAUAAGAGUGGCAGCCAGAAUCCAGGUGGGUUUCCCUUAAUAAUAAUAAUAACUAUCAUUAUUAUUAAAUUAAAAUAAAUAUUAAAUUAAAUUUAAAUUAAAUUAAAAAUAAAUACUAUUUUGGUACCGGGGAUCGAACUUAGGACCUUGCGGUUUCGAGGCAGGCGGAGGCACCACUGAGCUAAAUCCCCG